AUACGGGUACGGGGAUUAGGGUUCGAUUCCGGAGAGGGAGCCUGAGAAACGGCUACCACAUCCAAGGAAGGCAGCAGGCGCGCAAAUUACCCAAUCCCGACACGGGGAGGUAGUGACAAUAAAUAACAAUACAGGGCCCUCACGGGUCUUGUAAUUGGAAUGAGUACAAUUUAAAUCUCUUAACGAGGAACAAUUGGAGGGCAAGUCUGGUGCCAGCAGCCGCGGUAAUUCCAGCUCCAAUAGCGUAUAUUAAAGUUGUUGCAGUUAAAAAGCUCGUAGUUGAAUUUUGGGUCUGGCCGGGCGGUCCACCUUCCGGUGAGYACUGUUCCGACGCCGGACCUAUCCUUCUGGUGAGACGGCAUGCCCUUCGCUGGGUGWGUCGGGGAACCAGGACCAUUACCUUGAAAAAAUUAGAGUGUUCAAAGCAGGCAUUUGCUCGAAUACAUUAGCAUGGAAUAAUGAAAUAGGACGCGUGGUACUAUUUUGUUGGUUUCUAGGACCGCCGUAAUGAUUAAUAGGGAUAGUUGGGGGCAUUAGUAUUCAAUUGUCAGAGGUGAAAUUCUUGGAUUUAUUGAAGACUAACUUCUGCGAAAGCAUUUGCCAAGGAUGUUUUCAUUAAUCAAGAACGAAAGUUAGGGGAUCGAAGACGAUCAGAUACCGUCGUAGUCUUAACCAUAAACUAUGCCGACUAGGAAUCGGGCGAUGUUAUUUUAACGACUCGCCCGGCGCCUUAUGGGAAACAAANNNNUUUGGA
rnacentral:rRNA from 1 species